GAACACGUGAAAUUCUGUCUGAAGAUCGGAGGACCACCUUCGAAGGCUAAGUACUCCUUACUGACCGAUAGUGAACCAGUACCGUGAGGGAAAGGUGAAAAGCACCCCGACGAGGGGAGUGAAACAGUACCUGAAACCGAACGCCUACAAUCAGUUGGAGGGCCCUUGCGGCCUGACAGCGUACCUUUUGUAUAAUGGGUCAUCGACUUGGUCUCACGAGCAAGCUUAAGCCGUUAGGUGUAGGCGCAGCGAAAGCGAGUCUUAAUAGGGCGUUGAGUUCGUGGGAUCAGACCCGAAACCGAGUGAUCUAGGCAUGACCAGGAUGAAGGUAAGGUAACACUUACUGGAGGUCCGAACCCACACCUGUUGAAAAAGGUCGGGAUGAGUUGUGCCUAGGGGUGAAAGGCCAAUCAAACUCGGAGAUAGCUGGUUCUCUGCGAAAUCUAUUUAGGUAGAGCGUCAUCCGAAUACCCUCGGGGGUAGAGCACUGGAUGGGUAAUGGGGCCCCACAGGCUUACUGAUCCUAACCAAACUCCGAAUACCGAGGAGUACUAGAUGGCAGACACACGGCGAAUGCUAACGUCCGUCGUGAAGAGGGAAACAACCCUGACCUCCAGCUAAGGCCCCUAAUUCAUGGCUAAGUGGGAAAGCAGGUGAGACGACCAAAACAACCAGGAGGUUGGCUUAGAAGCAGCCAUCCUUUAAAGAUAGCGUAACAGCUCACUGGUCUAAAUAAGUUGUCUUGCGGCGAAGAUGUAACGGGGCUCAAGCCAUGAGCCGAAGCUGAGGAUGCACUAGUUGCAUGGUAGCAGAGCGUAGUGUGACAUAAUUCCAUGUCUCCUUAACCCUUCGGGGUAUUGGAGACGCGGAGUUUUCUGUGAAGCCGGCGCGUGAGCGAUCCGGUGGAGAGAUCACUAGUGAGAAUGAUGACAUGAGUAGCGACAAAGAGUGUGAGAGACACUCUCG
rnacentral:rRNA from 1 species